CCUGCCCCUCGCAGCGUCCAUUUUGGGUAAAGCAGGAAGUUGUUUUGUGAGGGAAACCUCAUGACAAACUGAACUGAGCUUAUUAAAUAUCCACAGAUACAUACAUCGGUAUUUGUUUUUUCUUGAAUGAUUAUUCGUUGUAUGUUUUGCUCGUCUAUAGGCGGAUCGGACCGGUUGCCUCGCAGCUGUGUUUACUGUUAAACUUCACACGCGCGUCGAAGAGGUCGCGACGGUAACCGGAGUGCUAAAUAAAACCAGCAGGUCAGAAUGGCGGAUGACUUCGACGUUGAGGCCAUGCUGGAAGCUCCUUAUAAGAAGGGUGAAAGCAAGUCCUCUAGCGCCGAUGGUCAUAAUGAGGAACGCAGCAAAAAGAAAAGACGCAGCGGCAGUCGUAGUCCGAGCCCAGGUCGGCAGGGGAGUAGAAGCGGGGGCCGCAAGAAGAGCCACGAGCGACGCAGGAGCCGUAGCCGCGAGCAGAAACUUUCACGGAGCAGAGAACAGAAGCGGUCGCGAUCCCGCAGCAAGGAUCGGGGUGGACGUUAUGGUGGACGCAAAACCCCCUUUAUGGGGCCGAAAUUAAAUGGUGGUCCCGGAGGGAAGACCGGCCCACAACAUUUCACCAAACACAGUCGCAGGCGCUCUCGGAGCAGAAGCCCAUUUAAGAAGGACAAAAGCCCUGUCAGGCAACCUUUAGAUAAUCUGAGCCCAGAGGAGAGAGACGCCCGUACAGUGUUCUGCAUGCAGCUCGCUGCCAGAAUUAGACCCAGAGAUCUGGAAGAUUUCUUCUCUGCAGUGGGAAAAGUUCGUGACGUAAGGAUGAUCUCGGAUAGAAACUCUCGGAGGUCGAAGGGCAUUGCCUACAUUGAGUUUGUGGAGGCGACAUCGGUACCGCUGGCGAUCGGCCUGACGGGGCAGAGGGUUCUGGGAGUGCCUAUCAUAGUACAGGCUUCACAGGCUGAGAAGAACAGGGCAGCAGCCAUGGCCAGCAUGCUCCAGAGAGGCGGUGCAGGACCCAUGCGGCUGUAUGUGGGCUCCCUGCACUUCAAUAUAACUGAAGACAUGCUCAGGGGCAUUUUUGAGCCGUUUGGAAAGAUUGAGGGCAUCCAGCUAAUGAUGGACAGUGAGACUGGCAGAUCGAAAGGAUACGGAUUCAUAUCAUUUGCAGAUGCAGAAUGUGCUAAAAAAGCCCUGGAGCAGCUAAAUGGUUUCGAGCUUGCGGGGCGGCCAAUGAAGGUGGGUAAUGUUACCGAGCGUUCGGAUGCCUCGUCUGCAAGCUCCUUCCUGGACAGUGAUGAACUGGAGAGAACUGGCAUUGACUUGGGCACAACAGGUCGACUUCAGCUGAUGGCAAGACUUGCAGAAGGUACAGGACUGCAGAUUCCUGCUGCUGCUAAGCAGGCCUUACAGAUGAGCGGCUCUGUGGCAUUUGGAAAUCUGGCAAAUGCCUCAACCACACAACCUCUUGUUCCCAAUCCCGGGAUGAACCAAGCUAUGAACCUUCCAAGUCAGCCACUGGCUACGCACUGUUUGCAGCUCUCCAACAUGUUCAGUCCACAGACGGAAAACGAUCCUGGCUGGGACCUGGAGAUAAAGGAUGAUGUCAUCGAAGAGUGCAGAAAACACGGAGGCAUUGUUCACAUAUACGUCGACAAGAACUCUGCUGAAGGAAAUGUUUAUGUAAAGUGUGCAACCAUCCCAGUAGCUAUGGCUGUUGUCAGCGCCCUGCACGGUCGGUGGUUUGCAGGUAAAAUGAUCACAGCUGCCUACGUGCCUCUCCCUACGUACCAUAACCUGUUUCCAGAUGCUGCCACAGCCACAGAGCCCCUGAGGCCCAUGCACCGGUGAUCCACGGAGUGACCCCUGCUUCGUCUGGAUCCGUACGCUUACCCUACAACCCCUUCCCAAAUGAACAGAGGCAGUCCUGUCAUGGAGGGCCGUCAAAUGUAUGGAGUUGGACUGUAUUUUCAUAUUAUAUUUUAGCAGGGGUGUUGUUCUGCGGUUAGAAUCACCUCUGCGUUUCGCAAGCUUCAGACCAGCUCUCAGCUACAGUGGUCUAUUGAUAAGUGAAAACCUGUAACACCGUCGCCCUCUCUAGAUGAGCUCUUGACUCCCGAAAACCGGUUUUGAAGGAGGUUCUGGCGUUUUUUGAAAGGAUGAACCAGCUCAGCCUCAGGCAAUAUUCCAACUUUCCCAGACAAUAUGGUCAACAUAAUGUCAAAUGGGAUGUGUCCUGGCUAAAAAGGACCAGGAUUGAGAAAGACUGAUCUAGUGGCUGCAGAAAUGCAAUGCAAGUAUCUAAAACAAUAAAGGACAAGGUUCAGGUGUAUAAAAACCUCAAUGUGGCUUGAAUGCAGAUUACAAAAAAAAAAAAACUCUAAAAGAGGACACAAUGUUCAAACGUUCAGCUUUUACGUCAGCUCUCAGUGGACUGGUGGACUCAAGUUCUGUGAGACUUCUGUAAGAACCAUACAGACCAUGACAUAACAUUAGCAGCCAAGAUGGUUUUUUUUUUUUUGGCUCUGUAUAUCCAGCUACUGCCUUUGAGGAAUCCUGCGCCCCAUCUGUGGUAAUAAAUCAAAUAUGACAUUAAAUCGGCCUGAUCUCAGAGACGCCUUAUGAUCUGCCAGCCAAUCUGUCAUCUCAGUGAGUCUGAAAAAUUUUGCGAUUCAUGUUGAGAAUAGAGGCUGCCUCAUUUUCCAACUCUGAGGAGAUUUGGAAAAUGAGAAAUUACCACACACAAAAAAAAGAAAUACAAAUAUUAUGCUUCA